UACAGAGGUCUCAAGCGUUUGUUCGGAUUCAUUGGGCGUAAAGGGUGCGUAGGCGGCGCGGUAAGUCGGGUGUGAAAUCUCGGAGCUUAACUCCGAAACUGCAUUCGAUACUGCCGUGCUUGAGGACUGGAGAGGAGACUGGAAUUUACGGUGUAGCGGUGAAAUGCGUAGAUAUCGUAAGGAAGACCAGUGGCGAAGGCGGGGUCUCUGGACAGUUCCUGACGCUGAGGCACGGAAGGCCCAGGGGGAGCAAAACGGGG
rnacentral:rRNA from 1 species